rnacentral:misc_RNA from 1 species
UUUAGAAUCACCCGGAGACGCGUGCCAGGAUGUUUUAUAGGCCUAACGACGAAUACUUUUGUGAUGGCGCAUUUUGGGAUAACAAUCAAACCUGGUAUACAGAAGAUCCCGAUUUCACCAAUUGUUUUCAAAAAACUGUUCUGCUGUGGAUUCCCUGUGCAUACUUGAUUGUGUUUUCUCCAUUUAGAGUGUACAAACUGUCUAAAUGUCAUAAAACACCUUUGAAUUUUUCAAGGUUGAAUGGAAUUAAAUCAGUCACUUGCAUUGUUUUGCUACAGUAUGAAAGAAGAAAAGGGGUUUAUACCUCAGGAUUUUUGCUCAUCUUCUGGCUUUUAUUAUCAGUUGCUGGAGUAAUGCUAUUUCAAUCUAAAGUCAGGACAGCUAUUAGAAUGGGAAUAGAUGACUUGAUGGCAUUUACAACAUUUAGCCUGUGUUUCCCUGCUGUUUUAUUGGGGUUUAUACUCUCUGCACUUGUUGAUGGAAGGCAAAUUGAAGAUUACAAUCAUGACAAGCACAGAAGUCCAGAAAUGAUGUCAUCUAUUUUAUCCAGGUUAACUUUCUGGUGGUUUACAAGAAUGGUUAUUAAAGGAUUUAAACAUUCCCUUGUAUUGGAUGAUUUGUGGUAUCUCAAUCAGAAGGAUUCAUGUGCUGCAGUUGUGCCGCAUUUAGAAAAGCAUUGGAAGAAAGAACUUGAAAGAAGGAAAAGAGAUUAGGAAAAAUCAUGGAACUAACAAAGUAGAAGUAAGAUAUAUUCAGACCAUAUACACGACGGGUUGUGAUGAGUUACCAAACAGGUGUCCAUGGAAAGGUGUGAAUACCUCGAUCUCGAGUACACCUGUUCAGACGUCCAAAUAUAAACUAAACAACGAAAAGUCCAUAUCUCAGAGUUGCCAUUAAAAGCGGAGGUAAUUGAAAUGGAGGCCUCUGAAGGGGAUAAAGGAGAGGUUAUAAUUGAAAGCUACAACCAUACAAAGACUCCAGGAAGGUUGUUCCGUGCAAUGGUUUCAGCAUAUUUACCAUCUGUUUUAUUUACUGCUCUUCUUAAGCUGAUUUAUGAUGUGAUGCAGUUCAUAAGUCCAUUACUUUUAAAGCUGUUGAUUCAAUUCAUUGAAGAUAAAACAGAAUACAGUUGGCGGGGAAUGUUCUAUUCUGUGCUGAUGUUUAUUUUGGCUAUGAUUCAGUCAUUGAUAUUGCAUCAAUAUUUCCAAGGUUGUCAGUUACUUGGAAUGAGAAUCCGCACAUCAGUAACCUGCCUUAUAUACAGAAAAAUGUUGAUACUUUCCAACACAGCCAAAAGAUUAUCAACAGUGGGGGAAAUUGUGAAUCUAAUGUCAGUGGAUGCUCAGAGAUUCAUGGACCUUAUGACAUAUGUUCAUACAGUUUGGUCAGGUCCAUUGCAAAUUAUUGUAGCAUUGUAUUUUUUAUACAUGGAACUUGGUCCAAGUAUAUUUGCUGGAUUUGGAGUAAUGAUAGUUUUAAUACCAAUCAAUGCUUUGAUAGCAAAAAAGACAAGGGAUUUGCAGGUAAAACAAAUGAAUUUGAAAGAUAAAAGAAUAAAAAUGAUGAAUGAAGUACUAAAUGGGAUUAAGGUUUUAAAACUUUAUGCUUGGGAACCAUCAUUUGAAGAACAAAUUCUGGAUAUUAGAAAAAAAGAACUUAAAGUACUGAGAACAAUGGCUUUCCUAAAUGCCUUUGUCUCAUUUACUUGGACAACAGCACCAUUCUUAGUUUCAUUGGUUACAUUUGCUGUAUUUCUUUUGUCAAACACUAGAAAUAUUUUGGAUGCAGAGAAAGCAUUUGUUUCCUUAUCACUAUUUAAUAUACUGCGGUUCCCAAUGUCUAUGCUUCCACAAGUUAUUUCUAACAUUGUACAGACCUCGGUAUCUCUGAAUCGUCUGCAGAAGUUUUUGAACAGUUGGGAACUGGAUGAAGGUGCAGUAAUUAAAGAAGAAAAUGGCAGUCACACAGACACUCAACUGGCUUGUCAGAAUGACCACGGAACUAGAGACUAAUAUUAUUGCUGUCGAAAGAGUUAAAGAAUAUUCAGAGAUUCCAAGAGAGGCACCUUUAAUAAUAGCAGAGACCACACCAGAAAAAACAUGGCCUCAAAAAGGAGAAAUUGUUUUCAGUAACUAUUGUGUAAGGUACAGAAAUGGUUUGGAUUUGGUUUUGAAAGAUAUCACUUGCAGAAUUCAACCCUCUGAAAAGAUUGGUAUUGUUGGAAGAACUGGAGCUGGAAAAUCUUCAUUACUGCUUGGAUUAUUCAGAAUAAUAGAGAGUGCAAGUGGCAACAUUUAUAUUGAUGGGGUAGACAUAUCCAAAUUGGGACUACAUCAUUUGAGGUCCAAACUCACUAUUAUACCCCAGGAACCUGUUCUUUUCUCUGGAACCUUAAGAAUGAAUUUGGAUCCUUUUGAUGUUCAUUUAGACACCACUAUUUGGAGAGCGCUCGAGCAUGCACAUCUGAAGUCAUUUGUUGAAUCUUUGCCAAAAAAAUUAUAUCACAACUGUACUGAGGGUGGAGAAAAUCUGAGUGUUGGUCAAAGACAACUUAUAUGUUUGGCAAGAGCACUUUUGAGGAAAACCCAAAUUCUUAUACUUGAUGAAGCAACAGCAGCAGUUGAUAUGGAAACAGACAAAUUGAUUCAAGAAACAAUCUGGCAAGAAUUCGAAUCGUGCACAAUUCUUACCAUUGCACAUCGUUUAAACACAGUCUUGAACAGUAACAGAGUAAUGGUAUUAGAUGCUGGACGUAUCAUUGAAUUUGACAGUCCAUCGAAGUUGCUGAGCAAUGCAGAUAGUGUGUUUUUCAAGAUGGCCUGUGAUGCAAAUUUGGUGUGAACGAAACUUGUAUUUUAAAAAAAAUAUAUUGAUUGUACACAAAAUGAAGAAAUAAAGACUGUUUUCACCUU